UUCCUCCCUAUAAUUUGGAAUGUGGGUGGAGUGGGUCAUAGUUCUCCCUGAGUGAGACUUGUUUGCUUCUCUGGGAACUGGUCCUGUCCUGUUCUCCAGUAUGGUGUGUCUGAGGCUCCCUGGAGGCUCCUGCAUGGCAGCGCUGACAGUGACACUGAUGGUGUUGAGCUCCCCACUGUCUUUGGCUGGGGACACCCGACCACGUUUCCUGCAACAGCAAAAGGCUGAGUGUCGUCACUUCAACGGGACGGAGCGGGUGCGGUUCCUGGAAAGAUACUUCUAUAACCAGGAGGAGUAUGUGCGCUUCGACAGCGACGUGGGGGAGUACCGGGCGGUGACGGAGCUGGGGCGGCCUAGCGCAGAGUACUGGAACAGCCGGAAGGACAUCCUGGAGGACAGGCGGGCCCAGGUGGACAACUACUGCAGACACAACUACGAGAUUUUAGAGAGGUUCCUAGUGCCGCGGAGAGGUGAGCGCGGCGGGCGGGGCCUCCCUGUGAGCUGCCAAUCAGAGAGAGGGAGAGAGACUGAAAGAAACUGAGAGAGAGAC